rfam:Picea glauca, whole genome shotgun sequence.
AUGUAAUGUAUUGCCUACAACAUUAAUGCAUCAAAUCCGAUUAGAACUCCACAGUUAAGCAUGUUCUUGGGCUAGAGUAGUAUUGGGAUGGGUGACCUCCCAUAAAUUCAUAGUGUUUUACAUG